rnacentral:misc_RNA from 1 species
GUGAGUCAUCGAAUCUUUGAACGCAUAUUGCGCUCGAGACUUCGGUCAAGAGCAUGUCUGUCUCAGCGUCGGCUCACCCCUCGCCCCACCCCCUUUCAUUCGAAAGAAGGUGGCGGCGGACGUGGCCGUCUCGUUUCCUUUCUUGGAAACGGGUCGGCUGAAGUGCAGGGCUCGCGGCGCGACUCUUUCAAAAGAGCGCCAGCAUGGUAGGUGGCUCACGCUGCAUACCGCUGUCGUUCGACCGGAGAGCUCCAAUGCCGCUCGGCCAUAAGCAGGAAUUUUUUCGGACGGCCCUCAAAA